rnacentral:lncRNA from 1 species
AAGGUUGGAUACUACUCCUAUGGCUGCCCAGCAGCUGAGCUCAUUGUUAAGGAGGAGGUCGAGAAGGCUCUGAUAGAUGACCCUGGCGUCGGUGCUGACCUUCUCCGGAUGCACUUCCACGACUGCUUCGUGAGGGUGAGUUCCUUCUCGACUCCUUGAUGUAUUAUUGCAUACACGGAUUCGUUUGUGUUGGAAUUGGAUGAAUGGCCGUGCACACCACACCAGGGUUGCGAUGGCUCGGUUCUUAUCGAUUCGACGGAGGACAACACCGCCGAGAAGGAUGCACAAAUCAAUCUAACCCUCGAAGGAUUUGAGAUUAUCGACGCUAUCAAGGAAAAGUUGGAGGCCGCCUGCAAAGGAGUCGUCUCGUGCGCAGACCUUCUGGCAUUCGCCGCCAGAGACAGCGUCGUACAUGUGAGCUUCAUUGAUGCUCUGUAUUCCCCUGCUGCCGAUUCAUGCGAUUGAUAUCGGCAUUAGCUUCUCGAUGUAGCCAUUUAACUUGGGAUUGAACUGGUGGUCUUGGACAGUACGGAGGAAUUCACUACAGAGUCCCUGCAGGCAGAAAAGAUGGAACGGUAUCCAAGGAAGGCGACACGAGCAUUCUCCCUUCGCCGGCCCUUGACCUCACUGAGCUCACAAAGUUGUUCAUCUCCAAGGGGUUGAGCCAAAAUGACAUGAUCACUCUUUCAGGUAAUAAUUAAGAAGCUCCCGCGACUCACUACAUAAUCAAAUGCGCACGCAGAGAGAUCUGAGAUAGCUUCCACGCGCGUGCAGGAGCGCACACGGUCGGCAUCGCCCACUGUGACGCCUUCACCGACAGGCUGUACGACACAGACGAGACGCUGGAUCAGAAGUACGCAAAGGCGCUGCGGAAGCAGUGCCCUCCGGGCAGCAACAACACGGUGUCGAUGGACCCGAAAAGCCCUCGAAGGUUCGACAACCAUUACUACAGGAGCCUCCUGAAGAACCGAGGGCUGUUCAUCUCGGACCAGACCCUCCUUUCCACGCAGGGCACGACGACGCAGGUGAAGCGGCUCGCGAGCAACUACAAGCGCUUCCAGCGGAAGUUCGCGGCUGCCAUAGUGAAGAUGGGCGAGAUCGGAAUCCUCACCGGGAGCGAGGGCGAGGUUCGCGCCAAUUGCAGGAAGAUCAACUGAUGAUGACUGCCAUUGACAAACGAGACAGAUCCCUUUCGGUGGAGUACUUCAUCAUCUUAUAUAUAUAUGUAUAUUUUAUUUGUUGGAGAUUGCCUGUAUUGUUUCAUGUGAUUCUUCUUCUUCUUCUUCUCCUCCCUUCUUGAAAUAUGUCUAUCUUUGAUGAAUAAUGAGGGUGUCAAAGACAUGUUUUGGGAAUCAUCUCAUCUGUGCGUGUCGGUGAAAUGAGCUGAGAUUUCUUUCUCCUUUUUCUUUAUGGUGUUGAACUUUUAUUAUAUUUUAGUGCAAAGCAAAAGCCACACCACUGGCUAUGGUAUUAUAUCUUCAAUCAUUGAUGUAGAAUUGGAUCUCCUGCUACGGUCGAUGGUAAUGCAAUGCAAUCAUUGAUGUAGAAGCCGCCGAUGGAGAAGUUGAAACUACCGAGCAAUUCGACAAUUGCAAUACGUGGUAUCUGCCACAGACGAGCAAAUGCAAGUUGGAAGUUGUCGGUCCUCAUCGUGUGAUGUGAAGCGGUCUCGUGUCCAACCCAAAUCGGUCGCUUAUUGCAACGCUAACUCUCAUACUUACUCAGAUUAGUUGAAUUAAUAAUGACAACAAUAAUUUGAAUUUUUUUAUUAUUGUUGUUACGGGAAUCGAUUAAAUGUUACCAUCCCCAUCAUUUUCUUGGAAGAGAACAAUUUUCAGCACAACUGUUAUUUCUGUGAUGUCCGAUGCAUUUGGUCACAUGACCAAUAAUGCAGGGAGCUGUUACUGCUUGAUUAUUAUAUUGGGUAUGUGGAUCCUAAACGAAGUCCAUACCCGUUAUUCGUACUUGCUCCGUUAACAGUAACGGAUAUUGCGAAUUGGAUCCCACGAGUUGUGGGUACAAACUGCUAUGAUGGGUUCCAGCGAUGACGUUGAAUCAAACCCGUUGCGAGAUGAAAUUAGCAACCACUUCAUGAGUCGAUCGAUGCAGUCUCCCACGGGUGGAGCCCUGUGAUUCAACCCACAUGGUGAGGAGAUUAAAAUAACCCCAAUAACAGAUGGAUAAGACUUGAGAGCAGGCAUCAUGUCCUAAUCCAAUAUUCACAAGCACAGCGACCAACCAACAACCACAUUAAAUUGAAACAUGAAAGAGGGACGAAGGUUUCAUAUAUUAUCAGACCUUUUUCUCAGAACAAAUUAUACUACCGACAAUAGGAUUGUCUUGACAAUCCUGUCGCUGUAAAGCAGCAUUGGCUCAUCAAUCGAUCUCUAUAGUGUGUAAAUUUCUUAACAGGAAGGCCUCUACUAAUCUCUAAUAGACUACACCAAAGAACAGCUGCUCUAAAGUAAAUGUAAUGUCAUAGCGGAACGUGUCCAAAUUAUAUAUAAUGUGUGGGCCCAAAUUAGGUCAAGAAAUCCGGUCCAAGCAUGCUUAUUGUACAGAGUCGCCGACAAGGUCUUACGUUCUUUGACUGUUGCCACGCUGUGAUAUGGAACUUAACAGGAACGCCAUAAAGCCGAUGCAAUCCUUAUCAGAUUGGUUAUUUGCAGGAUUCAACUUGGUGUAACCACUGAAACCUGGAUCACAUCGAACAGCAAAUGCAUGCAUCAGAAUAUUGGGUGAUGGUUGGCUGGACAGCCCAAAUCCAUCUGUCUCCCGCAUUAAUGCACAAAAUUUUCUUCGUCUCCAACACAAAAUGCGAAUAAAGAACGACUCAUCUCUCACUCUUAAUUCAUCGAUCGCGUAAUUCGAUGACCACUCACAUGGAAGCAAGCAGCCAAAUCAAUUCCUUGUUCUUUCAACUGGAUCAUCCACCAUUUUAUCUCUAAAAUAUGCAUUUUUGGCCACAUGUUCUUGGUGAACCGUCCAUGUCUCUAGCCACAUCCACACUCUAUAAUGCUAGCUAAAAUAUGCAUUAGUUAGCCGACCCCUGUGAUUUUUGGAGAUUCUUAAUGCAUAUUGUUUCGCAUCCUGACAGUGCACAUGAAUUGUGUUUCUAUUUGUAACAUUUACCACGACAGAAGCUCUAAGUUAUUUCAGUAGCAGCCGAAGCUGCAUGACAAACUCGCACAUGAUUAGCUAAUGGCGGGACAGCAUUCGAGCUAAGCACUCAUGUCACCGGUCGCCAGACGGGGCCCCACGUUGUGUUGAGGAGCUGUAAGACAGUGAUUCGUUCACGUAUCUGCUCGGUGUUGUCUUGGUUUCUGGAGAGGGGUAAUGGUUUGGUGACGGCUUCCAGCUUCACAUGGGGCUGCCACUGAUAAUGGGCAUUAUUUGGCGCGUCUUUGUUCUAUAAAGAGGGACAAGACCUCAUUGCACCACAACACCACAUAGCCGAGCCCACUAAGAUUUAGAGGAAGAUGGCUUUGGGAAGAGGAGAGAUGUCGCUAGCCAUCAUUGCGGUCUUGUGCCUCAGCGCAAUGGGGACAGAAGCCUAUCUCAAAGUUGGCUUCUACUCCUACAGCUGUCCUAAAGCGGAGGAGAUCGUUAAGGAGGAGCUUGAUAAGGCUCUGCAGGAAGACAAGGGCAUUGGCUCUGACCUUCUCAGGAUGCACUUCCAUGACUGUUUCGUGAGGGUUAGUUCCUCUUUGACACCUUAUCUUACUUGUUUACCUGACCUUCUCAGGAUGUGCUGAAGAGUAAAUGAGAUUGACGUUGUGUUCGGGAUGGAUCGUGUCAGGGUU